ACCGAACGGACUACCCGAAUUCUGAGGCUAAACAAUUUGUUUAUUAGGCAUUUGAUUUCUCUUAAAUUUUAUGUUCUUCUUCCUCGUCGAGAAGGUUUCAUCGGACCUACACUCUAGCCAAUCGCUCUUCUCGUUUUUGGGUUACCAUGGUUGAUUUUGAAAGAUGUUUACGACGUACCAAAACGUUCUUGUACACAAGCCGACGGUUUCUAGGACUAUUGAUUUUAGUCGUGUCUCAUGCAACAGCUACGGACUUUACAAAAGAAGCAGAAAAUGUUCAUUCCUCCGGAUGUGUUUGUCCGUGUGCGCCACUCAACCUUAUUAAUGCAGUAUCAUUGCCUAUCCAGGAAGUAUCAUUGCCUACACACAAAUACGUCCCACCUAAAGAUUGGUGGAUUGUCUCUCUAGUAUCCAUUGUUGCUGUGAUAACAGUGACGUUUUGCUUGUCCUCAAUAAUAUAUGCAGUACGUCCGCCAGUAGCUACUACAACUGAACACAUCAACAAGGAAUUAUUAGCAGCGGAAAUAUUAGCAAAAUUUGAAGAGGGAAACACAAACAUGGAUGAUUACAUCGAGUAUUUAAGGAAUACUAUCAACGAAGUUCCUUGCUUAACACGAAGAAGCUAAAUCCUCAUGUGCUUUUUCAUGGAAGUGUCUUUUGUUGGAAACAAAACAUGUGUCUCAUCUUAUAACUCAAUCAACUCAAUCAGGUGUCAUAUUCAAUCGCUUACCAUUUGUUUAUGGAGGUCUAUCAAAAUAAAUCCACCAUCAUUUCUCUUUUA